GUUUGUGUUCAUUUACAGCAGCAGGAAUCAUUUUAAUUCUUUGAGAUGGGACUAGGCAGAGUUUUGAGUUACUUUACUCUAUCAAUCUUCAUUCAAUAUUCCUGCAGUCAGACACUGAUCGAGUCUGAUCCAGUGACCAUCAAACCUGAUCAGUCUCAUAAACUGACCUGCACAGCCUCUGGAUUUAACUUUGGUAGCUAUUACAUGGCUUGGAUCAGACAGGGACCUGGAAAAGGGCUGGAAUGGGUUGCAACUAUCCACGGCAGUAGCAUAUAUUACUCUAAUGCUGUUAAAGGCCGCUUCACCAUCUCCAGAGACGACAGUAAGAAGCAGGUGUAUCUGCAGAUGAACAGCAUGAGGACAGAAGACACUGCAGUUUAUUACUGCUCAUGUGAAAAAGAAAGUGCACCCUCUUGA